CUACAGACUAGAAUCAAAAUCCCCCAAAUCGUCUCUGCGUCAAGAUCACCCAAACCCUACCAAACUCAAACUAUAUUUUCGGCGACGAAGGAAUCGUCUGGGCAUCAAAAUCGACUUUAAACCCAUACUUGACAAGCACGAUUUGUAGAGCGUCUUCUUCAACCAUGGUGGACACAAGAUAUUCUGGAACCGCGACACAUGAUGGAAAAGUCCAUGAACGAAAUAUUGGGAAGAAGAAGGCACCGGUAAAACCUAAAGACCGGAAAGCGAAUUUGGAGGCAAAAGUGGGCAAAGAUAAUUGAUAGUAACGUUAUGUCAUACUAAUACAAUUCUGAAAUCGACGAGGAGGGUGAUCCAAAAGCCUACUUCAACAAUGGUCGACACU